CAUCGGUGACACGACCCAACCCAUACCAAGCAUCUUCACAUCUACCAUGACCGAGGCUUUGCCCUUUAGUAAUUUCCUUGUCGGUCUGCCCGUACAGGUAUCUAGGAUUAUUGAUGGUGACAUGGAUGAUUCCUGUGGUCUGGAGAAGGUUGCUUCCAGUCACUUGCCUAGCUAAAUGCCAAUGCAUGAGAUAGCAUUUGCGUCAACUGAUAAGUCAGAGCUACUUAGUCAUGUAAACAAACUUAGAGGACAUGGUGAGCCAAGGUGAGCC